rnacentral:tRNA from 1 species
UAUGUAGUGCCUGAAAAUAGGGUAAUUUUGAUAGAAUUAAUUAUGUGCAAUUGCACCUUCAUAA